UAGGGAAUCUUCCACAAUGGACGCAAGUCUGAUGGAGCAACGCCGCGUGAGUGAAGAAGGCUUUCGGGUCGUAAAACUCUGUUGUUGGAGAAGAAUGGUCGGCAGAGUAACUGUUGUCGGCGUGACGGUAUCCAACCAGAAAGCCACGGCUAACUACGUGCCUG
rnacentral:rRNA from 1 species